UAGUUAACUGAUAAAGAUAAUUCUUUUGCGAUCUCAUGUACGCAUACAAAUUGAAGCUGGUGCAGUUCGAUAGAUACUUUGACACAUUUCAAUUGCAAGAGCCACCAAGUUGGGAUCCCUCGGAUCAAUCGCAUCGCAUUUCGUUAACGGCGACGGCGACGCAGACAAAAAUGCCAAAUUUGGCAACGCGUUGCUCACCGCAAACAACGAACCGACACUUAAGACAACCAGCAUUAGCUGUGGACCCGAGAGAGAACCUCAACAUUGCCAUGGAUAAAUAACAUCAGUAAACUGUCCUGUUACACCAUAUCGAGAAGUUAUCCAAUGAGAAAGCCGCUUAAAUUUUGGAGGAUCUAUGAUGAACGACGGAGAAAAAUAAUAACGCUUUGUUUGUGAAACACUUUUUGAGCGCAAACAACGAUUAUUCAAGACAAAAAAGCCCAAAACCAAAAACAAACGCAAAAACUAAAAA